AAUUUGCGGCGGCCUAAACAUGCAAGUCGGACGGUAGCACAGAGAACUUGGUCUUGUGUGAGAAGUGUGGGACAGGUGAGUAUAGUCUGGGGAUCUGCCCCAUAGAGGGGGAUAUCCCCUGUGAACGGUGGCUAAUACCCCACAACGUCUCACGACCCCAGAGGGGGACCUUCUGGCCUCUCUCUAUCGGAUGAGCCCCCAUGGGAUUAUCUAUUAUGCGGGGUAAUGGCCCCCCUAUGCGACAAUCCCCAUCUGGGCUGAGAGGAGGACCCCCCCCACUGGAACUGAGACACGGUCCCCACACCCACGGGAGGCGCCACUGGGGAAAAUUGCGCAAUGGGCGCACGCCCGAGGCACCCCUGCCCCGUGUGUAAAAAAAGCCUUCUGGUUGUAAAGUACUUUCUCCGGGGAGAAAAGCGAUGUGGUUAAUAACCCCAUCGAUUGAGGUUUCCCCCACAAAAAACACCGGCUAACUCCCUGCCCCCACCCCCGGUAAUACAGAGGGUGCGAGCGUUAAUCUCAAUUAUUGGGCGUAAAGCGCACGCACGCGGUCUGUUAAAUCUCAUAUGAAAUCCCCGGGCUUAACCUGGGAACUGCGUUUGAAACUGGGACGCUUGAGUCUUGUGUAGGGGGGUAUAAUUCUCCGUGUAUCGCUGAGAUGCGUAUAGAUCUGGAGGAAUACAGGUGGCGAAAGCGGCCCCCUGUGCACAGACAGAGACUCACGUGCGAAAGCGUGUGGAGCGCACAGGAGUAUAUACCCUGGGAGUCCACGCCCUAUACGAUAUCUACUUGUAGGUUGUUCUCUCGUGGAGUGUCUUCCCGAGCUCACACGUUAUGUCUACCGCCUGGGGAGUACAGCCGCAAGUGAUAACACACAUGAAUUGUCAGGGGCGCCCACAACGGUGGAGCAUGUGUUUUAUUUCUAUGCACACGCAGAGACUUAUCUACUC
rnacentral:rRNA from 1 species